rnacentral:rRNA from 1 species
UACGAAGGGUGCAAGCGUUGCUCGGAAUUAUUGGGCGUAAAGGGUAGGUAGGUGGUAAUAAAAGUCUGGGGUGAAAUCCCUGAGCUCAACUCAGGACGUGCCUUGGAAACUUUAUUACUAGAGUGCUGGAGAGGUCCGCAGAAUUCCCGGUGUAGCGGUGAAAUGCGUAGAGAUCGGGAGGAAUACCAGAGGCGAAGGCGGUGGACUGGACAGCAACUGACACUCAACUACGAAAGCGUGGGUAGCAAACAGG